rnacentral:rRNA from 1 species
UACGUAGGGACCGAGCGUUGUCCGGAAUCAUUGGGCGUAAAGAGCUCGUAGGCGGUCUGUCGCGUCUGCUGUGAAAACUCGGGGCUUAACCCCGGGCCUGCAGUGGGUACGGGCAGACUAGAGUGCGGUAGGGGAGACUGGAAUUCCUGGUGUAGCGGUGAAAUGCGCAGAUAUCAGGAAGAACACCCGUGGCGAAGGCGGCUCUCUGGGACGGUACUGACGCUGAGACGCGAAAGCGUGGGGAGCGAACAGG